UUCGCAAUGCCCGAAAGGGUGAACGAGCGACGCCGCGUGCAGGAUGAAGGGUUUCGGCUUGUAAACUGCUUUUCUUUGGGAAGAAUGUCCGGAUCGUGAAUUCGGGCUCGACGGUACCAGAGGAAUAAGCCCCGGCUAACUCCGUGCCAGCAGCCGCGGUAAGACGGAGGGGGCGAGCGUUGUUCGGAAUUAUUGGGCGUAAAGGGCGCGUAGGCGGACUGGCAAGUCUGGCGUGAAAUCUCCACUGCUCAACAGGGAGAGGCCGCUGGAAACUACCAGUCUGGAGUUCGGUAGAGGACCAUGGAAUUCCAGGUGUAGCGGUGGAAUGCGUAGAUAUCUGGAAGAACACCGGUGGCGAAGGCGGUGGUCUGGGCCGAAACUGACGCUGAGGCGCGAAAGCUAGGGGAGCAAACGGGAUUAGAUACCCCGGUAGUCCUAGCCGUGAACGAUGGGCACUAAGUAGAGGGGUUUU
rnacentral:rRNA from 1 species